CCUGUUCGAGCGUCAUUAUGACCACUCAAGCCUAGCUUGGUAUUGGGGUUCGCGGCGUCGCGGCCCCUAAAAUCAGUGGCGGUGCGUCUGGCUCUAAGCGUAGUAAAUUUUCUCGCUACAGGGUCCGGAGGGUGGCUUGCUAACAACCCCCAACUCUUACGGUUGACCUCGGAUCAGGUAGGGAUACCCGCUGAACUUAA
rnacentral:misc_RNA from 1 species